UACGUAGGGUGCGAGCGUUAUUCGGAAUUAUUGGGCGUAAAGGGCGCGUAGGCGGCUGUACAAGUCAAAGGUGAAAUCCCUCGGCUCAACUGAGGAACUGCCUUUGAAACUGUACGGCUUGAGGCCGGGAGGGGGUAGCGGAAUUCCCAGUGUAGCGGUGAAAUGCGUAGAUACUGGGAGGAACACCAGUGGCGAAGGCGGCUACCUGGACCGGUUCUGACGCUGAGGCGCGAAAGCGUGGGUAGCAAACAGG
rnacentral:rRNA from 1 species